rnacentral:rRNA from 1 species
GACGAACGCUGGCGGCGUGCCUAACACAUGCAAGUCGAGCGGAGACAGUAGCAAUAUUGUCUUAGCGGCGGACGGGUGAGUAACACGUGGGCAACCUGCCUCUAUCCGGGGGAUAACAUCGGGAAACCGGUGCUAAUACCGCAUAACAUCGCGUCACCGCAUGGUGGUGCGAUCAAAGGAGCAAUCCGGAAAGAGAUGGGCCCGCGUCCGAUUAGAUAGUUGGUGGGGUAACGGCCUACCAAGUCUGCGAUCGGUAGCCGGACUGAGAGGUUGAUCGGCCACAUUGGGACUUAUAUACGGCCCAGACUCCUACGGGGGGCAGCAGUGGGGAAUAUUGCACAAUGGGGGAAACCCUGAUGCAGCAACGCCGCGUGAAGGAUGAAGGUUUUCGGAUUGUAAACUUCUUUGACCGGGGACGAAACAAAUGACGGUACCCGGAAAACAAGCCACGGCUAACUACGUGCCAGCCGCCGCCGUAACAC